rnacentral:tRNA from 1 species
CAAAUCCCGAAUGGCA